rnacentral:rRNA from 1 species
CCUACGGGUGGCAGCAGUGAGGAAUAUUGGUCAAUGGGCGCAAGCCUGAACCAGCCAAGUCGCGUGAGGGAUGACGGUCCUAUGGAUUGUAAACCUCUUUUAUCGGGGAGCAAGGCCCGCCACGUGUGGCGGGAAGGAGAGUACCCGAAGAAAAAGCAUCGGCUAACUACGGGCCAGCAGCCGCGGUAAUACGGGGGAUGCGAGCGUUAUCCGGAUUUAUUGGGUUUAAAGGGUGCGAAGGGGGAAGGUUAAGUCAGCGGUAAAAUGUCGGUGCGCAACACCGGCCUGCCGUGGAAACUGGUCUUCUGGAGUGAGGGAGAAGUAUGCGGAAUGCGUGGUGUAGCGGUGAAAUGCGUAGAUAUCACGCAGAACUCCGGUUGCGAAGGCAGCAUACCGGCGCUCAACUGACGCUGAGGCACGAAAGCGUGGGGAUCGAACAGGAUUAGAUACCCUAGUAGUC